rnacentral:rRNA from 1 species
CGCUCAGGGUAAGUCGGGACCUAAGGCGAGGCCGAUAGGCGUAGUCGAAGGACAACAGGUCGAAAUUCCUGUACCACCGUAAUCCGCUAUGAGCGAUGGGGUGACGCAGUAGGGUAGUGACGCGGACGGAUGGAUGUCCGUCUAAGCAGUGAGGCUGGUGUGUAGGCAAAUCCGCACAUCGUUAAGGCUGGGCUGUGAUGGGGAGCGAAAAUUG